UCCUACGGGGGGCAGCAGUGAGGAAUAUUGGUCAAUGGGCGAGAGCCUGAACCAGCCAAGUCGCGUGAAGGAUGACGGCCCUACGGGUUGUAAACUUCUUUUGUCAGGGAGCAAUUGGGUCCACGCGUGGGCUUAGCGAGAGUACCUGAAGAAAAAGCAUCGGCUAACUCCGUGCCAGCAGCCGCGGUAAUACGGAGGAUGCGAGCGUUAUCCGGAUUUAUUGGGUUUAAAGGGUGCGUAGGCGGAAUAUCACGUCAGCGGUAAAAAUUCGGGGCUCAACCCCGCCGUGCCGUUGAAACUGAUGU
rnacentral:rRNA from 1 species